UACGUAGGGUGCAAGCGUUGUCCGGAAUUAUUGGGCGUAAAGAGCUCGUAGGCGGUCUGUCGCGUCGGCUGUGAAAACCCGGGGCUCAACCCCGGGCCUGCAGUCGAUACGGGCAGACUAGAGUGCGGUAGGGGAGACUGGAAUUCCUGGUGUAGCGGUGAAAUGCGCAGAUAUCAGGAGGAACACCGGUGGCGAAAGCGGGUCUCUGGGCCGUAACUGACGCUGAGGAGCGAAAGCGUGGGGAGCGAACAGG
rnacentral:rRNA from 1 species